rnacentral:rRNA from 1 species
ACAGAGGGUGCGAGCGUUAAUCGGAAUUACUGGGCGUAAAGCGUGCGUAGACGGUUUCGUAAGUCGGGUGUGAAAUCCCCGGGCUCAACCUGGGAAUUGCAUUCGAAACUGCGAGGCUAGGGUACGGAAGAGGGAAGCGGAAUUUCUGGUGUAGCGGUGAAAUGCGUAGAUAUCAGAAGGAACAUCAGUGGCGAAAGCGGCUUCCUGGUCCAGUACCGACGUUCAGGCACGAAAGCGUGGGGAGCAAACAGGAUUAGAUACCCUGGUAGUCCACGCCAUAAACGAUGAGAACUAGACGUUGAGAGGGUUAGCCUCCCAGUGUCGCAGCUAACGCGCUAAGUUCUCCGCCUGGGGAGUACGGCCGCAAGGUUG